GAGGUUGUGGCUCAGUGGUAGAGCACUUGCCUAGCAUGUGUGAGGCACUGGGUUCAAUUCCCUGUACCACA
rnacentral:tRNA from 1 species